UCCUAGAUCAACUCUGGCCUAAACAGAACA
rnacentral:piRNA from 1 species